rnacentral:lncRNA from 1 species
GUCUGAAACAAGUGCUAGAUCCCAGGGCUGCCUCUCCAUUCCAGUCUGCCUUCUUGGAGAAUCAUCAGAUCUCUAGAGUCCUUAUUUCCCCAAACCUGGGCUGCUGCAGACUUCCACUCUGAUUUCCCCCAAGAGGUUUGACUCAGCCUAUGACCUUGAGCAAGUCCCUCCCACCUCCAGGCCCCAGUGUCCACACUUGUCAGAUGGAAGAAUAAGCUCAACAUGGGGUUCCUUCUAACUGGCAGAGACUCUGGGAUUGUCAUCUUCCAGAUGGGUGGAGGGAGGUGGGCAAGGCCAGCUGAGCCCCUGGGUGAGGCAGGAAAUGGAAGAGCAGACCACGGAUCCAGCCUGAUGCCCAUUUCAUCCAUGCCUGCUUUUGUCUGGAGCGCUCAGCAAGCAGGGGACAGAGGAAGGGAAAGAAGACCAAGACAGCAGCCAAGUUGCACAGCACAGAACAGCGCUCUGCUUGCAGAUACCCAGCCCGGAGUUCAAACCCCAGCUCAGCCACAUCUCUUGCUGUGUGAUCUUGGACAAACCGCCUACCUCCCCAAGCCUCGGAACUCUCAUUUAUAAAACCAGCAGCAAUCAGGAUCCUCAUUUCCAGGUAUUUGUGAGACUGGGAUGAAAGAACACCCAUGGUGGCUGCAGGAUCCUCAGUGUAUUAUUUUACUUUUCAUUGCCUUGACUAACCCAUCUUUAAAAUGGGAACAAUAAUGCCUAUUCAUAGAGAUGGAGUGAGGAUUAAAUCCAUUAAAUGAGUUAAUCCACAUAAAAAGCUUGUAAGAAUGUCUGGCCCAUCCCAAGCACAGAGUGACUGUUCCUUAUUACGGCUUGCCUAGCAUGGGCCUUGGCACACAGUAGUUCCUUAAGAAACAUCUGCUUCCUUCCUCCCCUUCCAGAUACUUUCCGGAUGUGGCCGAGUGCAGCCAGCUGCCUUUCUCUGAUGCCUAGUGACUGGCUCGGAGCCAACUCCUUAAAAAAUUGGAAACGUUGCCCACUUUCUCUUCUCCCUUUUCAUAAAGCAAUCGCAGAACAGAGGCAGUGACCUUGGACAACCUUGUACUGCAAUGUUUUCCAAAAGGCAAAACACUAUAAAUCACAGCGGGAGGGCUGGGCACACCACCCACGCCCCACCUCCCUCCUGUGGCCAGAGCCCACCUGAGCAGGGCUGGCCUGUGGAUCCCUGUACUUUUUUUUUUUGUAUGUAGGAUGUCCCCCAGGGCAGAGGAAGCAGGUGGGUGGGGGUAGACGCCCUGGAACGAUGAAGAACCACGGAGACUUCCAAACUCAAGAAACACUUACUAAGCACUGUCCCCUACGCCAGGAACCAGGCUGAGCAUGCUGAAGCAUUUCCUCUGAUUCAAGUGCAGCCUUGAGGGGACCGGUGCCCAGUGUUUCUGGAGGGGAGGUCAAGGGUCAGAGACCUCAGUGACUGCCAAGUGACCUCGGAGAAGCAGAAGAAAGGGAACACAAACCCAUGACCUGUGACACUGUGUCCCCAUUCUGUCCUUAGCAUGCCAUGCCCUUAAAUAGUGGAGAGAAGUUCCUGCAGAGAAGGGGUCAGGUUCAGUGA